UAGGGAAUCUUCGGCAAUGGACGAAAGUCUGACCGAGCAACGCCGCGUGAGUGAAGAAGGUUUUCGGAUCGUAAAACUCUGUUGUUAGAGAAGAACAAGGACGUUAGUAACUGAACGUCCCCUGACGGUAUCUAACCAGAAAGCCACGGCUAACUACGUGCCAGCAGCCGCGGUAAUACGUAGGUGGCAAGCGUUGUCCGGAUUUAUUGGGCGUAAAGCGAGCGCAGGCGGUUUCUUAAGUCUGAUGUGAAAGCCCCCGGCUCAACCGGGGAGGGUCAUUGGAAACUGGGAGACUUGAGUGCAGAAGAGGCGAGUGGAAUUCCAUGUGUAGCGGUGAAAGGCGUAGAUAUAUGGAGGAACACCAGUGGCGAAGGCGGCUCUCUGGUCUGUAACUGACGCUGAGGCUCGAAAGCGUGGGGAGCAAACAGG
rnacentral:rRNA from 1 species